UACGUAGGCAGCGAGCGUUGUUCGGAAUUACUGGGCGUAAAGAGUGUGUAGGCGGUGCUCUAAGUUCGGUGUGAAAUCUCCCGGCUUAACUGGGAGGGUGCGCCGGAAACUGGAGUGCUCGAGCGUGGGAGAGGAAAGCGGAAUUCCUGGUGUAGCGGUGAAAUGCGUAGAUAUCAGGAGGAACACCUGCGGUGUAGACGGCUUUCUGGACCAUUGCUGACGCUGAGGUGCGAAAGCGUGGGGAGCAAACAGG
rnacentral:rRNA from 1 species